rnacentral:rRNA from 1 species
UACGGGGGGAGCAAGCGUUGUUCGGAAUCACUGGGCGUAAAGGGCGCGUAGGCGGCUUGUCAAGUCAGGGGUGAAAUCCUGCAGCUCAACUGUAGAAGUGCCUUUGAUACUGGCGAGCUCGAGGGAGGUAGGGGUGGGUGGAACUUCCGGUGGAGCGGUGAAAUGCGUUGAUAUCGGAAGGAACGCCGGUGGCGAAAGCGACCCACUGGAUCUCUACUGACGCUGAGGCGCGAAAGCCAGGGGAGCAAACGGG